AGUGAACGCUGGCGGUAGGCCUAACACAUGCAAGUCGAACGGCAGCACAGUAAGAGCUUGCUCUUACGGGUGGCGAGUGGCGGACGGGUGAGGAAUACAUCGGAAUCUACUUUUUCGUGGGGGAUAACGUAGGGAAACUUACGCUAAUACCGCAUACGACCUACGGGUGAAAGCAGGGGAUCUUCGGACCUUGCGCGAUUGAAUGAGCCGAUGUCGGAUUAGCUAGUUGGCGGGGUAAAGGCCCACCAAGGCGACGAUCCGUAGCUGGUCUGAGAGGAUGAUCAGCCACACUGGAACUGAGACACGGUCCAGACUCCUACGGGGGGCAGCAGUGGGGAAUAUUGGACAAUGGGCGAAAGCCUGAUCCAGCCAUACCGCGUGGGUGAAGAAGGCCUUCGGGUUGUAAAGCCCUUUUGUUGGGAAAGAAAAGCAGCAGGUUAAUACCCCGCUGUUCUGACGGUACCCAAAGAAUAAGCACCGGCUAACUUCGUG
rnacentral:rRNA from 1 species